rnacentral:rRNA from 1 species
UCGCAAUGCCCGAAAGGGUGACGAGGCGACGCCGCGUGUGGGAAGAAGGCCUUCGGGUUGUAAACCACUGUCGGGAGUUAAGAAAUGCAAGAAUGUUAAUAGCGUUUUUGCUUGACUAAGGCUCCGGAGGAAGCCACGGCUAACUCUGUGCCAGCAGCCGCGGUAAUACAGAGGCGGCAAGCGUUGUUCGGAAUUAUUGGGCGUAAAGAGCACGUAGGCGGCUAUAUAAGUCGGUUGUGAAAGCCUUCCGCUCAACGGGAGAACAGCAUCCGAUACCGUGUGGCUUGAGUGUGGGAGGGGAGAGCGGAACUUCUGGUGGAGCGGUGAAAUGCGUAGAUAUCAGAAGGAACGCCGGCGGCGAAAGCGGCUCUCUGGCCCGUAACUGACGCUGAGUGUGCGAAAGCUAGGGGAGCAAACGGGAUUAGAUACCCCGGUAGUCCUAGCCGUAAACGAUGGGCACUAAGUAGAGGGGUUUU